GACAGAGGGUGCAAACGUUGUUCGGAAUUACUGGGCGUAAAGCGCGUGUAGGCGGCUUGGCAAGUCGGGUGUGAAAGCCCUGGGCUCAACCUAGGAAGUGCACUCGAAACUGCUUCGCUUGAGUACCGGAGAGGAAAGCGGAAUUCCCAGUGUAGCGGUGAAAUGCGUAGAUAUUGGGAGGAACACCAGUGGCGAAGGCGGCUACCUGGACCGGAACUGACGCUGAGGCGCGAAAGCGUGGGUAGCAAACAGG
rnacentral:rRNA from 1 species